rnacentral:lncRNA from 1 species
CCCAUACAUGCGAUCCACCUUCCUAAUCUCUUUAUUUUAGGAAUGAGAUAGUUUAUCUUUUUUUUGAGUAAAUCAGUGGGGAAGUCAGACCCCUACCCUUUUUUUCAAGUAGAUUAGGAGUUAGCUUUUUGAAGGUAUUAGUAGGGAUGUUGGUACGUAUGGGUGGCCAUGGGGCCCUCUUACGUGUUUUUUUUUCUCUCUUUAAUCUUUA